UAGAGAACAACAACGCGAGGGGUGGAGUUGGGGGCGGGGGGGAGAUCAAACAACAACAACAACAGCAGCGAUACUAAUAACAACACAUAAGAGUAGUUAUUAUACGUAAUAAAGCAACGCAAAAAUAACGGUUUAUUUGUUAAAAAAAAGUAACGUCUUAAUUUGCGUGAGGACAUCGCACAAAGGCGGGGGAGGCAACGGGUGAAGGUGCUGACAUUAAUCGCUUGUUAAAUACGUAACGAGGGCAAUGAUAGCACACCGACACAUUGCAACAAUACUAACACCUGUAAUACACGCAACAUGCUAACAGUUGUAAUAACUAUAAUAUAGGGCUAACGUUACGAGAGAGCAACUAUAAAAGUAAACAUUUCCCGACGCUGCGUUGGCGACGCGACACGGUCAAUAACACCGCGGGUCUGCCAAUGAUAACAUGUGCUACGUUAAGGCCAAUGGCAUGUGUUACUAAUGAAGCAUAUUGACCGGUACGCGGUUAGAAGUUAAGCGAGAACUUCGGCGAUAAUGUAAUAAUUUCACAGCGAGACACGUCCCUACUGUAGUAGUACUGUAGUAGGGACGUGACGCAUCUUCGGCAAACUUAAAAUAUAACUCGUGACUCGACGAGACGUUAAAACUUAAAUAUAUAAACGAACAUGACGAGAUAACAUUCACAACCUGCUAUUAACGUCCAAAGAGAUACUAUUCAAAAAAACAUUGUACAUUUCGUGACGCAGCGCCAAUAAUGACCACAAUAACAAAAAUGUUGCAAUCCACGACGCAAUGACGCAUUGGGCAAUCGAGUGGAUCCGAGUUUCGAGUUUUAUCAAUCCCCCUGGGUCAACAAGGUUGACCCCGGGUCAGCGAGGUUGCCCCUUGGUCAGCGAGGUUGACCCCGGGUCAGCUAGGUUGACCCCGGGUCAGCGAGGUUGACCCCGGGUCAGGUACAGAAAAGUUUAUCAACUUAAUCAGUGCGGUGGGCCUUUUUUUCCAGGUGCUCUCCCAAUUUUUAUUUCCACGAAGUAAAAAAAGGGAAAUAUAGCAUUUAAAAAACGAAUUUGCUGUCUCGAUGUAGGCUCCUCAAGUGUAUUAUAUUAUAAUAGGGUUUCCCCCUUUUUUCUGGCAACAAAACAGCUGUGUUAAGACGUUAAAACACCAAACUGAAACCUUUUACAAGGAAUCAUGUCUGCAUUAACCACAAUACUUGUGGUCAGAAUGCAAACAAAAAACAUACUCUGAUAAUACUGUAUAUGCAUUGACUUUAAAACUGAUUGGUCCACACCAGAGACAUCUUUCGAGCCUAGUCUCAAACGGUGUUAUAUUCGCCAUGGCUGGGUGAAUACAUUUAUAAUUUGCGUAAUAGCUAUAAUUAAAAACUACGAAAUAAAGUAAACAUCUGUAACAAGCAUAACCACGCCAAAAUAUUUGCAAUUGAACAGAUAACCAUAAAAAACAAUAAUUCUCAUUGCUUUUAUACAAAUAAACACGCUGCCGACAUUCUUUGGUCUCAAGCCGAGAAUCACCUCCACGACAUUUCUCUCGGACAACAACGUCGAUCAGAAUACAACCACUCAUCGAUCUCAUAACCACACAGUAACGAUCAUUUAUGACGAACGACUAAAACAAACAUUCCCUUUACCAUAUAUUCUUGGUUCUUUCGGUAAAUUCACGUAGAAGGGAAACAAUAAAAUAAAUUCUAUUAGUUUAUUGUUUCCCUUCUACGUGACUUUACCGAAAGAACCAAGAAAGCUUUAAAUCAAAAUUCACUGUACUGUAACAGCCACAGCAAAAUCCACCACCAUAACAAGUCUGGGGGACAACUAAUGUAAUGCGAGGUUGGGAAGCACGGGCACUUUGCUUUGACCGUUGAUGUUUACUUUUUGUCAUUGUCUAUUCCAGUUAUUGCCGUAUUCUCCGGAUUUUAGAGACGUUCUGGAAAGUAACUGCGCAACGUAAACUCGUGCCUUAAAAUAAA